AGAUCAGGUACUUACAGUGAUACAAGACUAUUAGGUAAGUCUCAGUCAAUAAUCAGAUUUCACCAAUUUUCCCCAUAAGAUAUUUAUGCUAUUCUUUUCUUUCCCCCCUGAUCUCUGCUACCUUCUUAUAGUGGGCAAGGUAAAGUCUAUAUUGAAAUCGUUUAUCCACCUAAAAUGAGAUCAAUGGAUUAAUCAUAUUUCCCCUUUCCUCUUGUUUUACUACUGGAUAGAGGGGUAGAAGACACAGAGUGGGACUGUUUGAAGAGUGUUGAGAAACACACUUUAGCCUUAUAUUAACCUGCACAAGAACAAAUGCCCCUGUGUUGAUUCUGUCUUUACUGAAAACCAUAGAGAGUUACAAUGAUGAAACUUAUUUGAUUCUUGGUGAAAAUUAGCACUUUCUGGGAAAAAAAAAUGUUAGUUAUUCAUUUCCUUAUUCAUUUUCACUGUGGAUAUGUACCUCCUUAGAUUGCAAAUACUUUUGAAUUGUAUCUGGCAAUUCCAAGGCAUGUUGAGAGACCCAGUUGGCUAGAGAAGGUUUAUAUGGGAAAAGUAUGGGAGAGGUGCCUAAAAAGGUAGGUCUGUUACAAGCCUUAAAUACAUACUUCACCUAGGAUUUUAUUCUUUUGUCUUUUCCCUAGAGAGAAAGAUCCCAUCAUGAUCUUCCAGCAUGUUGGUCUCCCCUCUCCCUACCUUUGCAUCUCUUAUAUCCUCAAAUACUCUCCUAUGUUGAAUGCUGAAAGUCUAACGUCAACUGACAGGGAUUUGCCCUUUACCUAAGACACCUAUAACUUGGGGCAUGGGGGAAGGAGUUCUGCAACAGGAAUACCAUGAUGCUGUAAAGUACCUCAAUUUUAAUGGCCAUUUUGACAUUUCAGCCUGUUGUUUUAUUGAUUAUUUCCCUCUUAUGUGCAUUUGGUUGUCAUCCUCUUUACGCUUUUCCUCGGAUUUCUUCAGUCUGAUGGAAACCUUAAACAUGAUGAUAUGGUCUCACAAUAAAGGGUCUCUGCAGGUGCUGAGGAAAUGGAGCCAAGGCUCUCCCUUCCUACUUGAAGACAAAGGAUGGGUCAGGUGCUAGGAGGAAGGUGAUUGGAAAAUAUGUGUGCAUAUAGUUUGGAAACCUCCCUUUUCUUGCUCCACCUUUUGGAGAAUUUUUUCCUCUCCUCCGAGACCCAUUUGGACAGAAUUUUGGCUAAGUCAGGUGUCUAUGGGAGACCAUUCUUAUCUGGAGCCAGAGCUGAGACUGGAGGCCAAAGGGAAGCACCAUUUCAGGAGUAGUCAAGUAUAUUGUGUCUUUGGCUCUGGAAAAUUAAUUCCAAAAGGCACAUGUAGCCAGCAUUCAUGUCCUUUUAAAAAGCAAAUAGUGGACACAUAUCCAGCAAUAACCAACAAAUGUCGGAUAUAUCCAAGUCCAUCAUCUCCAGGCACAAGUUAGUUGCUGUAGAGAAAAGCCAGCAACCCUUAAACCUUUCUUUUGGCUACAGAUGGGUGACAAAAUAAUAAAGACAGGGGGAUUUUGGAAUAAGAUGAAACAAAAAUGAUAAAUGGAAAUCAUUUACUUUUAAGGGCUCUGAAAAGAGGUAGUGUUUCCCCAGCACCACCCCCACCCCCAACCGGUAUAGACUUGCUUGACACAGUAACUGGCAUUUCCGUCCUCAGGUAGAAAUACUCCAAAUAAGAAACUUGCUCGUGCAAUUGUGUUACUAUGGACUCGUGUGAUAUGUCUGAUGAAUUGAGUUAAUUCAUUCUUUAACUUAACUGGCAAGAUUUAAGGGUUCACAUUGAAAGCAUGAAUAACCAUUUUGUUCCUUGAAAGACUCCAGUUUAAUGCCUCCUGAUGUCAGUGUAUUUUGCCCAGGGUUAAACUUGCUAUAUGAAUUAUUCACUGCUUGAUGGAAUGAAUGGGACCAUGUUUGCCCACAAAAUGUUAGCUGUGGUUAUCUGACACGAUGGGGCACAGCAGAUGCCUACAAAGGACAAUGGAUAAUUUAGAAUGUGGUUCCAGGGCCCAGCCAUUGCCGUUAAGAUCUUUAGAGGAAGCAUAGCACCUUCUUGUCUUGCACCACACAUCAAGAUGGCCUUAGUGAGCCAAGAAACUCUUAGCCUUAAAAAAAAAAAAAAA
rnacentral:lncRNA from 1 species